GAUGAACGCUGGCGGCGUGCUUAACACAUGCAAGUCGAACGAACUGCUUUAAAGGAAGUCUUCGGGUGGAAUUUAAAGUAGUUAGUGGCGGACGGGUGAGUAACGCGUGGGAAACCUGCCCUAUACAGGGGGAUAGCCUCGGGAAACCGGGAUUAAUACCCCAUAAAACUCUAGUAUCGCAUGAUACAUGAGUCAAAGAUUUAUCGGUAUAGGAUGGUCCCGCGUCUGAUUAGCUAGUUGGUGAGGUAACGGCUCACCAAGGCGACGAUCAGUAGCCGGCCUGAGAGGGUGAACGGCCACACUGGAACUGAGACACGGUCCAGACUCCUACGGGAGGCAGCAGUGGGGAAUAUUGCACAAUGGGGGAAACCCUGAUGCAGCGACGCCGCGUGAGCGAAGAAGGCCUUCGGGUCGUAAAGCUCUGUCCUAAGGGAAGAAGAGGACGGUACCUUAGGAGGAAGCCCCGGCUAACUACGUGCCAGCAGCCGCGGUAAUACGUAGGGGGCGAGCGUUAUCCGGAAUUACUGGGCGUAAAGGGUGCGUAGGCGGCCUUUUAAGUCAGAUGUGAAAGGCUACGGCUUAACCGUAGUUAGCAUUUGAAACUAAGAGGCUUGAGUGCAGGAGAGGAGAGUGGAAUUCCUAGUGUAGCGGUGAAAUGCGUAGAUAUUAGGAGGAACACCAGUGGCGAAGGCGACUCUCUGGACUGCAACUGACGCUGAGGCACGAAAGCGUGGGUAGCGAACAGGAUUAGAUACCCUGGUAGUCCACGCCGUAAACGAUGAGUGCUAGGUGUUGGUGGGGACACCCAUCAGUGCCGCAGCUAACGCAUUAAGCACUCCGCCUGGGGAGUACGGUCGCAAGACUGA
rnacentral:rRNA from 1 species